ensembl:lncRNA
GAAAAAUAAGAGUGUUUCUCUCUUCCAUUGUCUGUUGCACAACCACAGCAGUUGGCAGUGCAGGAGCCUCUCCAGCAUCCAGAUAAAGUAGAGUGUGAGAAGCCAGUCCCAGCCACUGCACAGGAGAAGGUGCAAGAAGUCCUGCAGCUGACAUGCAUUGAAUAAUUAUUCUAACAGAAGAAUAAUGUGCAAAAAAUUUUGAUCAAAUUACUUUUUAUUACAGUGAAGUGGAGCACAGAGGCUGGGGCACAAUGAGAUUUCCACACAAGAUCAGAUCAUCUGUCCACCCAUCCCAGAUGUCUGCCUCUGGCCAUAACAGGAAUAGCUUUAAGCCAAGUGUUCUGCUGCUCACUUAGGGCCCUGUAUUGAAUUAUGCUCAUUUACAGAUCCCCAGAGGAGCUUAGUGUCUGCCUUUGGCAAUAAGAGAGGAAAGAAAGAAUGAACUGCUGCUGAGUUUCCAGUCCUGGGCAGGAGCAAACCCAUCUCUUGCAACAAAGCCCCAUUCUCUUACCCUCCAAAUGGUUCCUGCUCCAGGUUUUGCCAAGAGACCCACCACUCCUCCACAGCACCACCACAGAAGCAGUAGGACCAUUUGUGAAAUGUUUGAAACAAGUACUCCUACCCCAGUUUCGUGUCCCAGAUCCAUGUCCUUCUGGCCAUUGGCAUCAUUUGUCCCCAGGAUGUCCUUGCAAGUUCCUGAAGUGUGGGUGGGACUUCAUGGAAAUUGGAAGGUGGAAACUUUCCAAGCGAUAGACCAAACUGCUGCCUAUGGACAAGGUAAAAGUAAGGAUGAAAAAGGACACUUCCUUGGUCAUGAUGUUGUUCAAGCCAAUGCACUUCUCUAAAGUUCACAUAGCAACAGGAAAUGUCAUGUGCUCUCCCCAGGAGCUGCUCAGCUUUGCUCAGCCCUCUCCCAGCUUGGUUGUCAUCCUCAAGCAGGUAUUGCAGAUGCUGAGGAAGGACAGAGGCUUCCAUUCCCUUGCUCCCAGCAGCCAUGAGGAUACAGGAACAAAAGUCACCUGGAGUUGUUUGGUACAACACUGACUUGACAGUUCCAGCUUAGGAACUCUUCUCUUCCAGGUAAACAGCACCCUUUGGAGACAGGUGCUGGCUGGGAGCACCUUGCCACAGUGCUGUGACUGGUCUCCCUCCUUCCAAACUCUGUCCCAGCACCAACUCCUGGAAUUUUCCUUUGGUAAGUGGGAGGACACUCUCCUAAUGGCACAUCAAUGCUCUUCUUAGCAGCAAUGCCCUUAGCAGGGCAGGCAGUGCUAACUCCUUUUUUUCUCAAGCCUCUUCACAGGCCUUCUGCUGUCUCCCAGCUGAAGCUGGAUGUCAAAGGCACACAGGUUUGGGCCUGUGCAGCGAAUUUGUGUCAUACCACCUGAGAACAGGCCUUGUCGUGCCUGGCCUCACCCUACAGCUCUCCUCCAGUGCUCCAGCAAGCCAAGCUACUGAGGCAGCUCACCCAAAGCCCAGCGCCUGCAGAGUCUUUGCACUCUUGCUGCUGUAUGUGUGGAAAAAUCAACCUACACACUCCAGCUCAGCAGCAGCACAGCUGCUAUGAAGUACAGACCAUUUAAAAGCAGGGCAUUUAUUUCCUGCAAGGAUCUCCUGCCCACCACCUGCUCACAGCUAGACUGCUCUUCACUCCCCUCUUCCCCUCAAGCCUGUAGCACUGUGGCAUGAUAAAACUAUGAAUGGGCUGAAUGGAAGGGAUAUUAAAACUAAUGGAAAAGAAGCUGAUUUUUCCUGGCAGUAUUCAAUUCUCAGCUCUUGCAGAGAGCGAGGAACAAUAAUUAUUUGAGCCACUGAAAUUCAGAUAGGCAGUACAGAACCUUGUGA